rnacentral:misc_RNA from 1 species
CUGAGUUACCGCUCAUCAACCCUUUGUGAACAUACCUUAACUGUUGCUUCGGCGGGUAGGCGUCCCCUAAAAAGGAUGUCUCCCGGCCCUCUCCCGUCCGCGGGUGGGGCGCCCGCCGGAGGAUAACCAAACUCUGAUUUAACGACGUUUCUUCUGAGUGACACAAGCAAAUAAUCA